rnacentral:rRNA from 1 species
AGUAACGGCGAGUGAAGCGGCAACAGCUCAAAUUUGAAAUCUGGCGUCUUAGGCGUCCGAGUUGUAAUUUGUAGAGGGAGUCUCGGGUUAUGGGUCGGUCCAAGUGCCUUGGAACAGGAUACCGCAGAGGGUGAGAGUCCCGUAUCCGGCCGACGCCAGCGCCCGUGUGAGGCCCCUUCGACGAGUCGAGUUGUUUGGGAAUGCAGCUCUAAAUGGGUGGUAAAUUCCAUCUAAAGCUAAAUACCGGCCAGAGACCGAUAGCGCACAAGUAGAGUGAUCGAAAGAUGAAAAGCACUUUGAAAAGAGAGUCAAACAGUACGUGAAAUUGUUGAAAGGGAAGCGUAUGUGGGCAGACUUGACCGCGGGAUUCAGCUCGUCUUUUGGCGGGUGCACUUUCUCGCGGGCAGGCCAGCAUCGGUUUCGGGGGCCGGACAAAGACGUGAGGAAUGUGGCUCUCUCGGGAGUGUUAUAGCCUCGCGUGCAAUGCGGCCACCCGGGACCGAGGACCGCGCUUCGGCAAGGAUGCUGGCGUAAUGGCCUCAUACGGCCCGUCUUGAAACACGGACCAAGGAGUCUAACAUCUAUGCGAGUGUUUGGGUGUCAAGCCCGGGCGCGCAAUGAAAGUGAACGGAGGUGGGAGCCUCGGCGCACCAUCGACCGAUCCUGAUGUCUUCGGAAGGAUUUGAGUAAGAGCAUAGCUGUUGGGACCCGAAAGAUGGUGAACUAUGCGUGAAUAGGGUGAAGCCAGAGGAAACUCUGGUGGAGGCUCGCAGCGGUUCUGACGUGCAAAUCGAUCGUCAAAUUUGCGUAUAGGGGCGAAAGACUAAUCGAACCAUCUAGUAGCUGGUUCCUGCCGAAGUUUCCCUCAGGAUAGCAGUAACGUUUUCAGUUUUAUGAGGUAAAGCGAACGAUUAGGGAGCUAGGGGUUGAAACAACCUUUAUCCAUUCUCGAACUUUAAAUAUGUAAGAAGUCCUUGUUACUUUGUUGAACGUGGACACUCGAAUGCAGCGUUACUAGUGGGCCAUUUUUGGUAAGCAGAACUGGCGAUGCGGGAUGAACCGAACGUGGGGUUAAGGUGCCGGAAUGCACGCUCAUCAGACACCACAAAAGGUGUUGGUUCAUCCAGACAGCAGGACGGUGGCCAUGGAAGUCGGAAUCCGCUAAGGAGUGUGUAACAACUCACCUGCCGAAUGAACCAGCCCUGAAAAUGGAUGGCGCUCAAGCGUGCUACCCAUACCCCACCGUGUCUUCUGAGCUUUUGAAGACACGAGUAGGCAGGCGUGGAGGCCCG